CUGAGAGCAGAACAGAACAGAAUCUUCAUCAUCACACAAGACAAAACAACAACAAUGAACAACAUCAUCAUCCUCAUCUGGACACUCACACUGUUUGCUCAAGAGUGUAGAGGACAGAUCACUGUAACUCAGAGUCCAUCAUCAAUAACAGCAGCUCAAGGACAAGAAGUCAGAAUAAACUGUAAAACCAACAGUAGAGUGGAUGAAGGUAAUGACUUAGCCUGGUACUUACAGAAACCUGGAGAAGCUCCUAAACUCCUCAUAUAUGAUGCAACAAGCCGUUACACUGGAACUCCAUCUAGAUUCAGUGGCAGUGGAUCUGACAGUGAUUUCACUCUGACCAUCAGUGGAGUCCAGACUGAAGAUACAGGAGAUUAUUACUGUCUGAGUGAACACUGGAUCAACAGUAAAGGUGUGUUCACACAGUGAUAAAGAGUCGUACAAAAACCUCCAUCAGUCAGAGUCACAGUGACUGCACUGAUACAGAUGAGAGAAACUGCAGCUGCUGAUGGGAGGAUGACAAACAAGACAAAAAGUAUAGCAAAAAUGUAAGAGAUAUAAUGCAGUAUUUAUUUACUUACUUACUUACUUACUUACUAUACUUAUUUAAUACACACAUACAGCUCAUCAUAUUAUUGUUCAUUCACUUUAUGGCCAUUAUAAAUUGUAGCAAGUAUUUAUUUGUCUUGUGUGUCUAAAGAAGCAAAUGGAAGAACUAUCAAACAAAACACAUACUGAGGCAUGAUAUGUAAUAUUACAUGACAGUUUGCACUUUAAGAACUAUGAAUAAAAUG